GAUUAUGGCUCAGGAUGAACGCUGGCGGCGUGCUUAAUACAUGCAAGUCGAACGAAGACAUCUCGCCGAAGCUUGCUUCAUUGAGAUAUCUUAGUGGCGGACGGGUGAGUAACGCGUGGGUAACCUGCCUUACACAGGGGGAUAACAGUUAGAAAUGACUGCUAAUACCGCAUAAGCGCACAUUAUCGCAUGAUAGAGUGUGAAAAGAUUUAUCGGUGUAAGAUGGACCCCGCGUCUGAUUAGCUAGUUGGUGAGGUAACGGCCCACCAAGGCGACGAUCAGUAGCCGGCCUGAGAGGGUGAACGGCCACAUUGGGACUGAGACACGGCCCAAACUCCUACGGGAGGCAGCAGUAGGGAAUAUUGGACAAUGGGGGAAACCCUGAUCCCAGCGACGCCGCGUGAGUGAAGAAGUAUUUCGGUACGUAAAGCUCUAUCAGCAGGGAAGAAAAUGACGGUACCUGACUAAGAAGCACCGGCUAAAUACGUGCCAGCCGCCGC
rnacentral:rRNA from 1 species